GAUCACAGUACUGUAAGCAUUUACAUGAGACAAAACUUAGAAUUCUAGAGUAGUAAGUUUAAAUGUUUGACAUACUGUCCUCAAAUAGCAUAAAACAUAGAGCUGGCAAAUUUUUUUUUUUUUCAUAGAAAAAAUAAGUGAACAGCUUCUUCGUGAAGUUCAUGAAAGCAUUUGAAAGUGAACGAAGGAGUCGUGUGAUACGGGAGAUGAACCCUAAGGCAGGAGAGGGGAUCCAGACUUUUUGCCUUGGUCUCAGGUUUGCCCUGGGAAUUAAAUAAAACCUCUUCAUUUCCUGGGCCUCAGCCGACAUUUUUGAAACAUAAAAAUAAUUAUCAUUAAAUCUCUAUGCAGUCUCAUUCACCUCAAAAUUGUGAUGUGUGCUUUAAGCUUUAUCAAACUGCAUGUCCCAAGGAAUAAGUGAGAUUUCUAUGAUGAAUAGUUGGAGUAUUUAGAGUAGAGGAGAUGGAAUAUGGUAGCUGGAAUAUUGAAUUGGGGUAAGGCCAUUAGACCUCAGACAGUCCUUUAACCUCCCUGAACAUCACGAUUUUUUCAUCCUUAAAAGUAAGGAGGUUAGACAGAUGCCCACUAGGACGUAGCUCUCCAGGACAGUUAAGAAGGAGAAUAAGUAUAAACUGCUUUGUGAAGAUCAUAGACUGAAAAGUUUAUUAUCCUUCUCCAGAUUCUGUGGUCAUGCACAAGCACCCUUAAGCCCUGCAAACUGAGAAACUCUGAAAGGUUGGUCAUAACUUUCCGUCCAAGGAAUAAGUAAGUGUCUUUUAAUUUCAUGGCUGCAAUCACCAUCUGCAGUGAUUUUGGAACCCAAAAAAAGCCAGUAGAGACUAAUUAUUGUGCAUCCCAGCAACAACUCCCAGGGCUGUGGUUGAUAAGGCAGUCUUCUGGAAACAUCAUCGAGGGCAUCCUGAAACGGCAUCAGACUCAGAACUGGUCUCUGCUCUUGAAGACUCUUCUCCGGACCUUCAGACUCUCUCGCCGCCUUUCCAGUGACAUGCCACUGUUUCUCACAGUGCCUCCCCCCUACCGGUCCAUCUGAUUCCCACUGACUUCACACCCGCUCCUGGUCUAACUGGACUUUGGUAGUAACCCCCAGACAGAAUCAGUGUUCAUCAAUAUCUGAAUGAACAAGCAAAUUUAUGUUACAGUCAAUGGGAUCCAACUCAACAAUAGGAAAGAACAGACAACUGAUAUAUAUACAACAACAUGGAUCAAUUGGAUCAAUCUCAAAAUGAAGAGGAAUUAAAGAGCCUCUUGAUGAGGGUGAAAGAGGAGAGUGAAAAAGCUAGUUUAAAACUCAACAUGCCAAAAAACUAAGAUCAUGGCAUCCGGUCCCAUCACUUCACGUCAAAUAGAAAGGGAAAAAGUGGAAGCAGUGGCAGAUUUUAUUUUCUUGGGUUCCAGAAUCACUGCGGAUGGUGACUGCAGCCAGGAAAUUCAGACAGUUGCUCCUUGGAAGGAAAGUUAUGACAAACCUAGACGGCAUAUUAAAAAGCAGAGACAUUAUUUUGCCGACAAAGGUCCAUCUAGUCAAAGCUGUGGUUUUUCCAGUAGUCACGUACAGAUGUGAGGGUUGGCCCAUCAUGAAGGCUGAGCACCAAAGAACUGAUGCAUUCAAACUGUGGUGCUGGAGAUGACUCUUUGAGAGUCCCUUGGACAGCAAGGAGAUCAAACCGGUCAAUCCUAACGGAAGUCAACUCUGACUCCAUUGAAAGGACUAAUGCUGAAGCUCUAAUAUUUUAGCCACCUGAUGCAAAGAGCCGACUCACUGGAAAAGACUCUGAUGCUGAGAAAGAUUGAGGGCAGGAGGAGAAGGGGGCGACACAGACUAAGAUGGUUAGAUAGCAUCACCGACUCAAUGGACAUGAAGUUGAGCAAACUCCAGAGAUGGUGAACAAAAGAGGAACCUGGCGUGCUGCAGUCCAUGGGGUCACAAAGAGUUGGACAUGACUGAGCAACUGAAAAACAAUAACAGAAGCCUUAUGAUGAAUAAAAGAAGCAAAUGUACAUACUGUGUGUUUCAUUUAUAUGACUCACAGAGAAGCAGAAGCAACCUAUAGCGGUGAUGCAGUUCAGCAAGAGGGUAUGAGCUGCCAAGGUGUUAACUAGUAUUGAGGCGGGUUGCAUGUAAUGGAGCUAUUAGCAGCUGCUCUAAACAGUACCCCAGAGAGACCUGGAGCAUAAUCUCAGAACUGCCUUUUUAUAACACUGCUCUCUGGGGGGGCUUGGAUUGCUGUAACUGUGGAAUGUAAUUGGCCCUUGCUGCUCUUAUGUGAGUUGUCCCUUCUAUCAGCAUACCUUAUCAUACACCCCCUGAUUGUGGGCUAACAGAAGGAUGUCACAGUGCACACACACUCCAAGAGGACCGCAUACUCCCGGAAAACUAUGCUGCCUGUCAAGGUCCAAGUAGAAGAAUAGGUUUAGGACUGUAGGGGAAGUGUCCUUGGGCCUGAAGUAGGCCAGGCCGCAUCAUUCUUGCUUCUUUCAGAUGUGCCCCGUGGGAUGGAGGGGCACAGACCCGCGUCUGAGCUGCUGCCUGGCCUCUUAACGCAAUGGCUGCUUGCCUGAGCUCAUUCUCGCAUGUUCUGUGCCGGACGCAGCUAAGGAAACUGGCCUUGGCAACCUGUUUUAAUCUUUCAGUCUUGUCCACUCCAAACCCAGGACCGCUGCUCUUGAUUUAGCGGUUUGCGACAUGCUAUGUUUGUUUAAAUCAUCAUUAGAAAUAUACAUUCUGUUUUCCUGUACAAACUUAUAA